UAAGGGCACGUCUGCCUGGGCGUCACGCAUCACGUCGCCC
rnacentral:rRNA from 1 species